ACAUUCCGGUAGGUAAGGCUACCGCAGGGAUACGGACUGCUGCCGCGAAGUGGUGGAGACACCAUAAGAGGGUUUGAACAGGCGAUAUCGAAACCAAGGUAUCAUCUAACGCAGUUUCAUUGCCCCGCGAUGCUAAAGCUUGU
rnacentral:sRNA from 1 species